UACGUAGGGAGCGAGCGUUGUCCGGAAUCAUUGGGCGUAAAGAGCUCGUAGGCGGCUUGGUAAGUCGGAUGUGAAACCUCCAGGCUCAACCUGGAGUCGCCAUCCGAUACUGCCAUGGCUAGAGUCCGGUAGGGGCCCACGGAACUCCUGGUGCAGCGGUGAAAUGCGCAGAUAUCAGGAAGAACACCGGUGGCGAAGGCGGUGGGCUGGGCCGGCACUGACGCUGAGGAGCGAAAGCGUGGGGAGCGAACAGG
rnacentral:rRNA from 1 species